GCGGGAAUAACUCAGUGGUAGAGUGCAACCUUGCCAAGGUUGAAGUCGUGGGAUCUAAUCCCAUUACCCGCU
rnacentral:tRNA from 1 species